rnacentral:sRNA from 1 species
AAGUAACAUUCCGUGAAUUAAUCUGAUAAACUGUUUUGACAACUGGUUACUUCCCUAAGACUGUUUAUAUUAGGAUUGUCAAGACACUCCGGUAUUACUCGAGCCCGUAAUACAACAUUAUUUUCAGUGAUAAAAUAUGUAAACCAAUUAUAAGAAAAAGGAUUGCGUUGCAUCACAACUGUAAACCAUUAAUUAAAAAGAGCAAUUGCUAUUUAGAUUUGUUGCUGAGAAUUGGCUAAAAAAUCUGAUAAUUGUAGGACUUCUAUUAUUGCUAGGGGCAAUGUGUUGGAAUGCAAUUCUGUUGGAAUAAAAAUCCACUAUCGUCUAUCAACUAAUAGUUAUAUUAUCAAUAUAUUAUCAUAUACGGUGUAGAGAUGAUGGCAUAAGGUAUGAAAAGCUGUCAUCGAAGUUAGAGGAAGCUGAAGUGUAAGGAUUGAUAAUGCAAUAGGAUAAUGAAACAUAUAAAACGGAAUGAGGAAUAAUCGUAAGAUUGGUAUAUAGAAAUAUAGACUCCAUUAUGGGGAUUCCUAGACCCUCGAGGAGAACUUCAAGUAUAUUCUGUAUACCUAAUAUUAUAGCCUUUAUCAACAAUGGAAUCCCAACAAUUAUCUCAAAAUUCCCCCAAUUCUCAACAUCCGACUGCCAUGCAAUGUGCUUUUCUGGAUCUCACUCAUGAUCAUAAUGGCCCUGUAAAAGGCUCGCACUAUUAUUAUUAUAUCUUCACUAUAUAUUAUUUCGGAGGCUGUACCUAUCAGUGAAAAAACGCCUCUAAAAAUGAAAAAAAAAAAGAAUAUGAAAGGGGUUCUGAAUUGCUAAAAUAUUUCGUCAAAGCUCAAUUAGUAUCAUGAUCAAGUCGUAAUUCGAAUCAGCAUAACAACCUCCAAAACCAUAUAAUAACCUUACACAAGACAAGAUAUCAAUUCAACAUGCAAACCCCUUCAGAAAAUACCGACGUCAAGUUGGAUACUCUCGACGAACCCAGUGCACAUUUAAUCGAGGAAAAUGUGGCUCUUCCAGAGGAUACAUUCAAUUCGUACUGGAGUUAUAUACUUAAUGAAAUCGCUCGUUGUAAACCGCUAAUGAUUAUGUUCCUAAUACCUGUGUGUUUGGUUUUAUUGAUUACGUUUUUUCAUGAUAUCAAAGGUAUCCUUGUGUUUUUAGUGAUUUCUCUUAUCCUCUCUAUUAUCAUUUUAUUGAUCGGUAUAACUGCCUUCGUGUCUGAGACCUUGAAUAAGGGUUUCAUAAUUAAGCUUUUAGUAGAAGUCAUUACACGUAAACCAGCAGUAGGGGGGAAGGAAUGGAGAAUAAUCGCAUAUAAUAUGAACCAGUAUCUGUUUGACCAUGGGAUAUGGCAUACUCCGUAUUACUUUUUUUGUGAACAUAGGUGCCAUAAAUUUUUCAAAAGCCUUAUCAAACAGACAAGGUCGAAUGCACAUUUGAGUUCACCAACGAACGGUGCAGAGAAUACGCAGUCAAACACACCAGCAAAAGAGGUUUCAAAUGAGAUGGUAAAACCUUAUAUCUUUAGUUCUGAUCCAGUUUUAGAAGCUUACCUUAUUAAAGCUGCGGAAAUUCACAAAGAAGCUGAAUUUGAGUAUUGGAGAAAGCAAUACCCAGAGGUUGAUUUGCCUUAGGGCCGAAUUUUUGGUAUUUAUCUAGUAUAUUCUAAUAUAAAAUGUACGAGCAUCAUUAACUUCAAGAACAUUACGAAGCCCGCAAUUAAGUGUCAGUCCAUCUGGGUGUAAAAGUUAUGUACGCUCGAAACAAAUUUUAUGUAGUUUACUUUAGAUGCAAAUGCUAUUAUAUAUUUUGCUUUAUG